AUGACAACUCUGAGCAAGUCAAAACAACCGUCAGCAGCGGGAAACCUCGAUGAACAAACACCGGGAGAGUGCAUUCCCAGGGGAGUUCCAGGAGGCCCAUGGCCCCUCCUGUACAGCCCUCCACCGCCCAGAGCCUUCCAGCGCCGUGUCUUCCCCUUGGAGCAUCUGGAGGCCCCAGACAGCACCCGCCUGACGUUCAGCAGAGGGGGAGACCGAGGCCUGCAGCAGAGUGUUUUGUCAGAUGCUGCUCCCUGACCGGGAGUGAGAGGGAACCCACCUAGAGGUGCCAGAUGGGGUGCCAGGGCAGCGUGGCCUGCAGGCCCCUCAGCUCCUCACAGCCCCUGCCCCCAGCCUUCCUGGGCCCAGAGAUCCCCUUGUUUACCCUAGUCCAGGGACAGAGGCUCAGAUGUCAUGCUUGACCCCACAGUUUCUGCAGAUCCUGCUUUGUGACUUCGAGUGAAGUGUGGAAGCGCUGGAAGCACUUAGACCCUGCCUGUGCCGCAGACCCCUGGGAGGCACCAACACCCCGGAUCGAGAAGCCCGAUGGGAAAGAAUGUCUGGGAAGGACGUCAUGCCCGAGGCUUGCGUGACAGUUUCCACUCACAGUGCGCUCACUCUGAACCUCUGUGCACACGAUGGGCCUGCAUCUCUUCCCACUAUCUGCUAGGAAACACGAGGAAUCAUGGGAUUUGCCGCAGUUUGCACCCAGGCCUGUGCGGAUGCCCCCCGACUGCCCGAGAUGCUGCACCUGCCACUGCUGGGGGUGUACCUGCCUAUGCCCACUCACAGGGGCACCUCCAGGGUAGCUGCCUGGUGCAGGCAUUGGCUCUAAGCAGAGCAGCACUAUGGGCCCAUCUGGGGCUGGCUCUUGCCUGGGCCUGUGAGCACCAUCACAGCCAGCCGAUCUGGGAGUAUCCAG
rnacentral:lncRNA from 1 species